rnacentral:rRNA from 1 species
GAGGAACGCUGGCGGCGUGCUUAACACAUGCAAGUCGAACGGAAAGGCCCUGCUUUUGUGGGGUGCUCGAGUGGCGAACGGGUGAGUAACACGUGAGUAACCUGCCCUUGACUUUGGGAUAACUUCAGGAAACUGGGGCUAAUACCGGCUAGGAGCUCCUGCUGCAUGGUGGGGGUUGGAAAGUUUCGGCGGUUGGGGAUGGACUCGCGGCUUAUCAGCUUGUUGGUGGGGUAGUGGCUUACCAAGGCUUUGACGGGUAGCCGGCCUGAGAGGGUGACCGGCCACAUUGGGACUGAGAUACGGCCCAGACUCCUACGGGAGGCAGCAGUGGGGAAUAUUGCACAAUGGGCGGAAGCCUGAUGCAGCAACGCCGCGUGCGGGAUGACGGCCUUCGGGUUGUAAACCGCUUUCGCCUGUGACGAAGCGUGAGUGACGGUAAUGGGUAAAGAAGCACCGGCUAACUACGUG